rnacentral:tRNA from 1 species
CUUAGGAUAUUAAAACCAAGGGCCUUCAAAGCCCUAAAAAAGGGUGCAAGCCCCUU